CACAUUUGCAACAAAAACGCCAGGCCUACGCGGUUGCUAGGAUACAUUGAGCCCCACUGUAAAGGGGGUGUGUUCAAGAAGCAAAGCACAGCUAUUCCUACCCGUGUGUUUACGGCCAAAGAUUGCAAUGAUUGAAGUCUGGCCCCUAGGGGGAGCUGUCGCUGUUUGAACUGUUUCAUACCCGCAGAGAGGCACUGUGAAGACAGAAAGAGUGUCGGUCAGUUCCUGUGCCCGUGGCGCCGGUCACGUUCCCCCGGGCGGUCUUGUGAAGGAGCGUGUACACAAGCCGUUUGCACUCAGUGCGAGCCCAGCAAAGGGACUUUUCAGCACUGAAUCAUUUUCAUCAGGGACUACUGGACAAGACAGCAAGCGUCAAGAAGGGAUUUUUUUUUUACUAGAAAACUGGCUUAAUAAUUGAUCAUUAAUAUAUUAACGCAGCAUCCGACACUAAAAUAUUUCCCCAGCUUUACGACCUUGUGCUUGUGUAAUGUUUGUACCUGUUUAUGUAUGCGUUCACACUAUAAUGUGUGUUUCAGGAAAAAUAUUUUUAACACUUAAAGCUUAAUAUUUUAUUGUAAUUUUUUUUUGGUGAACCUGAAUUUUGGAUGGCCAUCUCCAUCUUACGAGGCAGUUUUGGAUGUCAUGACUCUUUCUAAUACUGCCUGGUAAUGAUGAUGAUGGCCUUCCACUGGCGUCGAUGAACAAAGUCGUAUCCGCGCAGCGCAACUCAAUGGGAGUUAAUGCAGCCGUUGUAGCAGUGAGCACGUUCACAGGCCGCCUCGGAGUGAAGUCGGGAAAGCUCAGUUAUACUCAUCCAUCUUCAUUUUUAGACACGCUAAACGCUAAAAUGCUAAACCUAGACAUGUUAGCUGAAUGAGGCCAACAGUUACCCUGCAAUAGCAUUCUGACCACAUAAUGACCCCCAGUGCUCAUCUUACCCGACAGUGCUGGACUGUACACAGCGUGUUCUAACACUGUCUGGUAACGAUGUUCACCGCGCGGCCAACAGACGACGCCUGCCCGCCACGGGCGGGGCACGGUCACAUGAUCUGCUCAAGGACAUCACCUGAUAACCAUCCACCCGCCUACGGUCUUCUUAAUUGCUCUGAGAGGUUUAUAUUUCAUUCUGAAACUCUGAGGACAAAGGAUUUAUAGUUCACCCAUAAAGCAGCGUGCUUUCACGUCAGGUUAUUUGCAGAUUUUAUUGCUCAACUAUUUAACUACUUGCUAAAACCUUUUUUCCUCUUUUUUUUUUCUAGGCCUGCACUAUAACCAAGGCUUACAUGUUUAUUUCGCUUAUCAAUAAUAGUUUUUUUUUUAUUGUUAUAAUUGACUAACUUUGUCUUAUUACUGACUGCUUUCAUGUAAAUAGCAGGGUGUGUGUUAUUCUGUCUGUUUUGCAAACACGACCGGCCAGGGAGGCUCAGCCAAGUCUGGUCUCCUAGGAAACAGGAAGAGGGUGAGAUGACAGUAUGCAGUGUGCUUCUCCAGUUCUAGCCGACUGCGCAGUGCACUGACCAGUCAGCAGUUGGUUCGGCCUCUGGGGUGUUUGUUACUCAUUUCUCCUCAGGUCUUAAUUGCGUAAUUGCCCUGCCUGUUUGUGAAAAGGGUCAAAUGACACAAUUAUAGAGAUGUCAGUCAACUGGUAAUUGAAAGACCUUCACAACAAAUAAUACCCCCAACAAUCCCCCCCGCCUCCCCCCAACUCAAACUGUAAUGCUGCCACAAACCCUUUUACUGAGGAAACAACCACUUCGGACAUUGCAGGGGAGUUAAUUUGCCCUAUCCCUUGUUAAAUCUAUCGGAACUACUGACAAUUCAACUUCAAUAUCUUGAAUAUUUAUGGUUUUAUGGAAGGUUCAUAACUAUGAUUAAAAAAUAUUCUUUUCUGGGGUAGGCUACUAGUAUGGGACUUGUUACUUUCAGUCCUUUUAGGUCAUAAACACUUGGGAAGUGAAGAUUUGAAACAGACCAUAAUCUGAACAGGGAAACAUUCGCAAAUGCUCAGCCCUAGAUGGAGAUGAUUUUAAUAUGAUAUAAAGCAUAUAUGUCCACAGCCAAGGAUACCAUUAUACUGUAUUUUAAUUUAUUUUUCCACCCACACUGUUAGAGCAGCUUUGUGUAAUAGUGGCAGAUUCUUGAAUGCUUUUCUUUCAAAUUGUUUCGUCAACUACAAAAUAACCUUUACUAUAUUGUCACAACCUGAAAGACCAUAGUUUGGCUCCUGUCGUCUGCUUUUUUGUGUGUUAGAAACUAGAGUCGGCGUCUUGCAUCCACUUGCUCUUUGUGGCAGUUGAGCUAUUGUUUCCUCAAUCCCUUAAUAAACCUUAUCAUUCAGUUUUAUCAUUCCAAAGUUUAAGCUCUGUGGUUUCAUAUUUAGUACCAAAGAUGUCAUUUGUGCUAGAAAACGUUUUAAAAUUUUUUGCAUUAAUAAAGUAGGCUGGAAAAUAAAAAUAAACAAAUCCGCAUCCUAUUUAAAGCACUUUAAACAGUUCACUUUCAUUAGUAGACUAAUUUGCCGAUCGGUUUUUGUGUUAGCGAUCUGCGUGGAAGGAAAAGCGAGGCUGAAGGUGAAAAGAGAAAGAGAGGGAAAGAAGGAGGGAGAACGAGUGCGUGGGAGGGGGCCCCUCCUUUGUUCCGAGGGUAGAUGUUCCUCCCUGCCCUUUGUGUUGGCAUUCCACCCCACCCCACCCCAGGAAUACCCGUCCGUUAACUGUUACAGCAGAACUGCUGACAGACAGUCCGGGAAGCGAGUGGGGAGUGGGGGGGAGGGGGGGUGGUGUUACAGAGGCAACUUCCUCUUACCCUCCCCCACCUGAGCCUGUAUGCACGUGAUUGGUCUAGCCUGCCUCACCUGCGUGGCACUUCCUGCAACCGACACCUGAGCUCUCGGUGAUAAAAAUAGACACAGUGUCAUCCUUGGCUCCACCUACCUCUCUUGUGCAGAGAGAAGCCAGCUCUGCUUCCCACAGCUAAGUGCAACACGAUAGACGACAGUGCUUAACAGCUCUGACUAUAUAAAAUGUUCAUUUAUAUGAGGGUUAGCCUGAUUCAGCUUUAUUUUAACUAGAACUGUUGUCUUUUUCCUGAAUUCAUAAUAGUUUAAUUCUAUUUUCAGUUUAAAUUGGGGUCUGUACAGUAAGUUGUUUCCAUUUGCAUUUUGUGAUCAUACUUGGGCUUCCGAUUAUAUUCUAUACUUAAAAACCAUGUUGGCUUUUCAGACCAAAAGUGACUUUUUAUAUCUAAUCAUUUUUCAAUCUUAGCCAAGUGUGCUGAGAUUAAUGCUUUGCGUGUUUGUGUUUCUUGGCAACGCAGCAUUUAGGCUUGAUAAUUUUAUGCAUAUUUUGUGCCUGUCUGUUUGUCCUGAGGAAACUUGAACUAAUUAACAGCAGAGACUCCAGUACUGCGAGUGUGUGCAGGAUGUACAGUCUGGUGUUUGUCAAAGGCAGGAGUUCCUUAAACGGAUCUGUUGAAUAUUAGACUACCCUCUCAAAUAUUGAAUCGCACCUUUAUUUGCUCGAGUGCUGCAGCGAGUCGGUAAAUAUGACGCAGAGGUUUUGAGCUCACAUGCCAGCCCUGCUCUUUCAUGGACAGGUUUGCUAAUUAAAGGUGAUGUCAUCGGACUUUGUGUAAAGGAGAGCCCGUGCCCUGCCUGGCCACAGAGGGCGCUCUCCUGCCGUCCCUCAUGUCUUAUACUCCAUCGCUCUUAUUGCUGUUGUUUUCUCUCUAACUGUCCAACUCUGGGGUACCCACUGCAAUAAUUUGUGUGCUGGGUUUUUUUUCUUUUUCUUUUUCUUUUGCUUUUUUUUUUUAAGAAUGUCCCAGCUGAGGGUCUGUUUUACCUGUGUGUUGUUCAAUGGCUUAACCGUAUUUCAGAAUGUCCUGCCUUCUUCUGCUCUUUCUUUCUCCCAGCCUUGUACCGUCACAGUAAGGUGUAGGUCAAAGGUCACAGAGCAUCCCCAUGCCCAACGCCCCUUGAGUGUGACCGAGCCUUUUGAUUGGCGUCUUACCAGACAAGGUUAGAUCUAGAUAUUCCUGUCUAAUACUGUCUGGUAAUGCCGUCCAUUUCAAGGCAUGACCUCCGGAUUCUGUGUCUCUCUGUGCUCCUGUUGCUUAGCCUGCGCCUUGCGUUCGACAGGUAAACAGUGGACAGGCGAACUUGUCUUGUGUAGAACUUAGCGAGGAUUUAUCAUGUUCAUGAACGUUUAUUGAGAUGUGGUCUAAAAUACAGGCAAGCGGCAGUCCUUUUGAGUGUGAGUUAAAAAUAAAAAAAAUUAAAUCCACACGGAUUUCAUUUGAUGCCACAAAGCACAAAUCCCAGUCAUUGAGCAACAUUGUCAGUCAGCCAUGAACUGUGACUGGCCUUCAAUGGCCUUUAAAUUAACUGUGAACCUUGCACUGGAAGAUGUACCGAAUUCAUGAAGCUCUUCCAUGUGCACUGUCAGAGUUAACCCCUGAAACUACAAAAGAUUCAGCAUUCGAAGCCUUCCAAAAAGAUCACCUGUCUCACAAGGAGGAUUGGACUGGGCUGCAGAGUAACUCCACGUUCUUAUGGUGCCAAUGCAGAAUGUUUCAUUUUAACGAGGUACUGAAGUUUCCCUCUUUGUGCUUGUUGGCUUUUUCCCCACUUCACUCAAGGUUACAUUUUUAGAUCUCUCUCUCUCUCUCUUUCUCUCUCUCUCUCUCUCUGUCUCUCUUUCUCUCUCUCUCUCUCUCUCUCUCUCUCUCUCUCUCUCUCUCUCUCUCUUUCUCUCUGCAUUUAUUGUGCUUUAAAUAUGUUUUUAGUUUCUUUUUAACCAGUGUUAAUGGUCCACCAUCCUGUCAGCUCUCUGUACAUUUCCUUUUUUCUGUGCCCUCCUCCCACCACAAUUUUGUAUUUUUAGUUGUGCUUAUUUAGUUUUUUUGUGUGGACAUGAACUGUGUGGAUAUGGACAAAUAAAACAAACAUGGCCAAUA